rnacentral:rRNA from 1 species
UUGUUUGUAUUAAAUUAUAAUCAACCUCAGAUCAAGUAGGACUACCCGCUGAACUUAAGCAUAUCAAUAAGCGGAGGAAAAGAAACCAACAGGGAUUGCCUUAGUAACGGCGAGUGAAGCGGCAAAAGCUCAAAUUUGAAAUCGGCCAACAGGUCGAGUUGUAAUUUGUAGAUUGUAUCUUGAGAGCGGAUUAAAGUCUGUUGGAAUACAGCGCCUUAGAGGGUGACAGCCCCGUAAAAUCUAUUCUCAUUGUAAGAUACUUUCGAAGAGUCGAGUUGUUUGGGAAUGCAGCUCUAAGUGGGAGGUAAAUUCCUUCUAAAGCUAAAUAUUGACGAGAGACCGAUAGCGAACAAGUACUGUGAAGGAAAGAUGAAAAGCACUUUGAAAAGAGAGUGAAAAAGUACGUGAAAUUGUUAAAAGGGAAGGGUAUUGAAUCAGACGUGGUUUUGUUGUUCAGCAUUGUUUCGGCAGUGUGUAUUCAACAAUACUAGGCCAAGGUGGGGUGAUUGGGAGUGAAAAAGAAGUAGGAAUGUAGCUCCUCGGAGUGUUAUAACCUACUUUCAUAACUCCUCAGUCGCCUCAGGACUGCGCUUCGGCAAGGACUUUGGCAUAAUGAUUCUAUACCGCCCGUCUUGAAACACGGACCAAGGAGUCUAACGUCUAUGCGAGUGUU